GGGGAUGUUUUUGGAUUUGCUAGUAUCAAUUAAUUUUAUAAAGCAUAUCUUGGUUAUGCAAGUAAAAACAUCGAGGUUUUAAAUAAACGACGAAAAUAAUAAAUCAUUACAAGAUAAUGGAGCUUUAAUAAAUUCUAUAAAUAAUUAUUAUCCAACAUUAAAUUCUAGAAUGAGUUCAGCUUUUUUAUCAUAAAAAUAAUUUUUUAAAAUUAUUACAAUAUAUUUUUAUGUUUUGAAAAAAUAAAAUAAAUAUAUAGAUAUAAAAUAAUAUAUUUAUUUUAUUAAGAGUUAUUUUAAUUUUUUAUUAUCUCUUUAAAAUUUAUUAUUUAUUAAUAAAUUAUAGAAAAAAUAAAAACUAUAAUUUAAAAUUAAUAACAAUUUAAAGACUAUUAAUUUAAUAUUUUUGUUUUUUAUAUUAAAUUAUAAAAAUUUUAAAAAAACUAAAUAUGUAGAAAAUAUAAAAAAGAUUGAUAUUAUACAUGGGUUCGAAUCCCAUCAUCUCCACCA
rnacentral:tmRNA from 1 species